UAUUUUGAUUGAUUUGAGUAUAGUAAAACCGCUGUGACCCGAAAGACGGUGAACUAUGAGUGAGCAGGGCGAAGCCAGAGGAAACUCUGGUGGAGGCUCGAAGGGGUACUAACGUGCAAAUUGUUCUUCAGACUUGCUUAUAGGGGCGAAAGACUAAUCGAACCGUCUGGUAGCUGGUUCCCCGCGAAAUUUCCCCCAGGAUAGCUGGAGCUCGAACUAAUGAACAGUUUCAUCCGGUAAAGCGAAUGAUUAGAGGAACGGGGGUCGAAACGACCUUUGCCUAUUCUCAAACUUUAAAUGGGUGAGAAAGUUGCAGUUGCUUGAAAUUUUAAAUUGAACUGACAACAAAGAAUGGACUAGCUCUUAGUGGGCCAUUUUGGUAAGCAGAACUGGCGAUGAGGGAU
rnacentral:rRNA from 1 species